GCUGAAACCAGAAGGGCCCUUGGGAGCCCCCUAGUGCCUGUGGACCAGCGAGGAGGCUGCCUGCUCGAAGGGAAAGGGGAGCCUCAGCUGGAACCCAGACCAUGUGGAGAUUGAUCCACUGAUUGAUUGGUAUAAUGAUUUAUUCAUAGUGUGGGCCAGUUCUGGUUGGUUUCCUUUCGUCCCCCAGCACAGACUCUUAAGUAUAGGGGACUCUUUCACAGAAAACGUGUUUACGUAGGUAAUAUUUUUGUUGUUGUUUUUUGUUUUUUGUCUUUUUAGGACCGCACCUGCAGCAUAGGGAGGUUCCCGGGCUAGGGGUCCAAACGGAGCUGUAGUUGCUGGCCUAUACCACAGCCACAGCAACGCGGGAUCCGAGCCGCCUCUGCAACCUACACCACAGCUUGCAGCAACGUUGGAUCCUUAACCCACUGAGCAAGGCCAGGGAUUGAACCUACAACCUCAUGGUUCCUAGUCGGAUUCGUUUCCACUGCGCCACAAGGGGAACUCCCCAUAGGUAAUAUUUUUAUCAACAUUUUUUCGUUAAAAGUGUAUUCAUUUUACAGGUGUUCGAAUCUCGAGCAGACAGCUAAUAGCAGACAGCUGGGUUCUCAUCCGGGCCUCUGUGGGCUGUUGUAGCAUCACGUGCCCUGGAGCCUCUGAAAAACCCCAGAGAGAAGGAGGGUAAAAAAAGUCACAUAAGGUCUUGCUAUUUAUUAGUGGAUCUCUCGAAAAAAGGUCUCAAGAACCCUCAAAGAUUCCCCUGACCACCCAGAGAACGACCAUACAGGCUUUCCUGUUCCGGAGGAAUGGAAGCAGAAUCAAGCCCAGGAGAGUCCUAGUGGGAAAGAGCAUGCGAGGCUUCUGAAGCUGUGGACUGUUAACAGGUAUUCACUUUUUCAAUUACGCCUUUGGAGCGCCGUAGCCAGUGGAAGCACAGACCUGUGUCCUCUCUGGGUGACAGCUUAUGCACGCCUGUUCUCCAGCUCAGGGCAAGAGUCUGGGGCCGGGGGAAUGGGUGGGGGGCGGCCGCUGCCAUACCGCUGGCCUGGCUGAGGGUCCGCGAAGAGCAUGAGGGUCUUUGCGAAAGCACCCAGGACAACCUGGCUCGUCCUGGCUCAUCCUGUCUCGUGUUUAUGAGCAGGAAACGCGUUCUGACUCCCAGAUGCCUCCUCUUAGCUGUCAGUGGAGCUGACGAAGCCCUGGCCACAAAGUUAGCUCUGAAAAUUUCCGAGCCCAGGAGGAAAGUAGGGCUGUGAUCAAACUGAGUUGUAGAUUUGCCGUUACCCCAAGCAAAUUGACAAUGAAAGGGCAGUUUUCUGUUUUUGGAAAGAUUCAGGGAUGGACCUCCAACCCUCUGGUUGGAAGGGCCCUGGGGCCUGGGUUCCUGGUCCGCCAUUUAGGCCGCUCAUUUGUAUGACCCUGAGUUCUUUGUCCUGGCCAGGCCUUCAUUUCUGCUGUUUGUCAAAUGAGAGAAGCUGGACCAUGUAUUGCUAAGUCCCUGAAACACAAAUAGUGCUGGGAUGGCGUGUGUGACACUGAACCUGGUGUGAAUGGCCACAGUCCUGGGCCCCAAAGCGCCUGGGCUUCUGAGUCAGGCUGCCCCGGUCUGAGGCCUGACCUGCCGCUCACUUGCUGUGUGACCUUGGGCAAGCAUUUCCUGUCCCAGGAGUUAGCAGCUCUCCAUGUACGUGGAAAAAUAAUACUUAAUAGUGAGGAAUUAAUGACUUCACACAUGUAAAAAAAUACAGAAGCCUGUCCCUCCUGUGUUCAAGAGCUAUUGGUUUUCAUCUUGUUUAAUAAAUGAGGGAACAGACUCCAAAAAGAGGGAUGGUCACUUGCCCAAGUCGUACAGCCUGUUAAUGGCAGAACCAAUGCAAUAGUUUCCUGAUAACUGACCCAGGACUUCCCCUCCCCACCCCCGAGACAAUAAAAUGGGAGGAAUCCAGGUCACCUCCCUUUCCCCACCCAGGGUCUGCCAGACAGAUAAACUGAUCGCUGCGGGAGUAUUUAGUACCUGCUAGGUACUAAUUUACAGUUUCAUUUAAUCCUCACUGUAGCUCUCCGGAAGGUAGAAACUGUUAUCCCUCUUUUAGAGAUAAGGGAACGGGCUUAGCAAGAGGAACCUGCCCACGAUCACACACUUAGGAAGCUCUGGAAGGAAGCCUCAAAUCCAAUCCAUUGCCACAGCCAUUCUCUUAAUUACUACACGAUGCCUCCCCCUGCAGGAAGAUUUGGAGUCAAUUAUCCUGGGACUCCAUUUAGCACAAGACUGUUGAGAAGAGAGGAUCAAUGAAAACAUUUCCUUUACUCAGUGUAGCUGAGAAGUGCUGCUGUGUAAAACGGAACUCUCUUAAGAACCAGGUAUUUUGAGUAAAAUAGAUGGAUAUGAAUCCAUCUUUAUGAUGUUUGUAGGAUGGCAGAUGUCAUUAUUUCAAAAAAACGAAAAACAAAAACCCCAUCACCAACGGUAACUUGAUGGGAACAAUCUUUUCCAAACACAAAAUAUUCUUCUUCUUGGGAGAGAUACUUGGCCCAAACAGCUAUUCCAGAGAGAAGACCUACGGAAAAUCUGAUGUGCAGCUGGAAGCCACGGAAUCUUAGUUCAUUGCCAAUAUCACACAGGGAGAGAAAAUUGCCUGCCUUCCCUGGGUUGUGGUUAGAAAAUUAAUCUGAUUCCUAUUGCUCUACAUUUGUAAAAGUGCAGAUUUUAAAAACUAUGAUGAAAGAUAAUAUGAGAAAAAAAA
rnacentral:lncRNA from 1 species